rnacentral:rRNA from 1 species
UACAGAGGUGGCAAGCGUUGUUCGGAAUUACUGGGCGUAAAGGGCGCGUAGGCGGCCUUCUAAGUCAGACGUGAAAUCCCCCGGCUUAACCUGGGAACUGCGUCUGAUACUGGAGGCUUGAGUAUGGGAGAGGGAUGUAGAAUUCCAGGUGUAGCGGUGAAAUGCGUAGAUAUCUGGAGGAAUACCGGUGGCGAAGGCGGCAUCCUGGACCAUUACUGACGCUGAGGCGCGAAAAGCUA